AGACGACACACACAGAAAUGGAGAGGUGUGUGAGGCGGAGGUGUUCCCCAUCCUCCUCUCGCCUUAUCCCUCUCCCCCCCUCCUCCUCCUCCUUUUCCCCUUCCCCGCUCGACCCACCCCACCGCGCCGGCGAUGAUGUCGAUCACCUCCACCGCCGCCGCCGGGACCCCGGUCUGCCGGCCGUCCGUCUCCAGGGGUGGACGGCGGAGCAGGUGCGCCGUCCGAGCCCAAGCGGCCGGAGACGGUGGAGCCGCCGCCGACGGGGCGUCGUCGGAGCAGAAGUCUCUGGAGAUAAUGCGCAAGUUCUCGGAGCAGUACGCCCGCCGCUCCAGCACCUUCUUCUGCUCCGACAAGUCCGUCACCGCCGUCGUCAUCAAGGGCCUUGCUGACCACAAGGAUCAACUCGGAGCACCUCUCUGCCCCUGCAGGCAUUACGACGACAAGGCCGCCGAGGCCGCGCAAGGGUUCUGGAACUGCCCGUGCGUCCCCAUGCGAGAAAGGAAGGAGUGCCAUUGCAUGCUUUUCCUUACGCCCGACAACGAUUUUGCCGGAGAGGACCAGGCCAUCAGCUUGGAGGAGAUCAAGGAGGCGACGUCCAAGUACUAACCACAUAACACUUGUUUUGCUCGAGAGGGGGCUAUAGUCAGUCGUCGUUGUCGGGACCUGUGUAUGUAGUAUCUCUGUAACAACAGGAAAUAAGAAAUGUCUGUCUGGAAUGAUGUCUGUUGUCAUCCAUCUUGAGAGAAGUUAAGGCCUGAUGGUUGCACUCCCGACUCGUCAAUGUUACGAUUUAUUGCGUGUUUGGGCUGGCGUAAAGCGUACUCCAUGAGAAGUGAAGGAAGGAUGUUGUGUGAGACGUCGUCUCUGAUGCUUCUUUUUCUUCCUGAAUGAAUGAUGUGUGGGAGGGAAGCAACAGCAACGCGCCAUUGCCCAUGUCCAUGGCACCCAACAACUCAUCUUUUCAAUGUUAUUAUUGUUAUGUCUUUUUAUUAUGCAUCUGUGUGUUGCUUUUGCAACCACACUUGUUAUAUACAUGCGAUUCGCCUCCACGUGACGUCGAUGAUGAUUCGCUCCAUGUGACGUCGAUGAUAUGAUGACCGAGCGUUUGAUCGAAACCGAAAAACCAAGCUCAAGCUCAUUUUCCAGUUAACCGAUCAACAGUACUAUUUGGUCUACAAGAAUUGUGUUGUUUGUUAUGCAUCUCUGUGUUGCUUUUGCAACCACACUGUUAUAUAUCCAUGCGAUUCGCUCAACGUGGGCGAUGGAGCGGCGGCAGAAGGAACGGAGGAACCCUAGCUAGCCAGGCAAUUACCAGUGGGUGAUGGUGAGUGAGGACUGGGGAGGAGGAGUGGUUGCAGUUAGGCCAAGCUAGAUAGGUAGUAGAAGUCCAUCACUCACUAUCAAUGGAAGGGGAGGGCACCCACCAAUUCAAUCAAUCAAGCUCACUCACUGACUUAAGUGUGUGUGUGUGUGUAGCUUGUGUGCUGCUUCUUCAUCUUUUCUCCCUUUCCCACGGCUCCAUCCAUUAUUAUUCGUCACUGUCCGGGUUUUAUUGCUGCAGCAGUACAUAAACAUUACAAAUAAUUGUUAUCUCGUUGUUACAAAUGCGAUGCAUCCUGCUGUGGCCUCUUGUUAAUCAUCCAUCCAUCCAUCCUUUGGGGUGCUUGUUUGCCAUGGCUCCUCAUCUGGAGAAGAACAAGGACGACGCCGCGACCACGCCGACCAUGGAGGAGGAAGAGGGGGAGCAUCAUUGUCAUGGCGACCGGCCGCUGCUCUCGGCGUGUGAGCAGGAGCAGCAGCAGGAACAGGAUGCCGACAAGCCAUUGCCAUUGCCGGCGAAGAGGAGGAGCAGCAGCCUGAGCAGAUCGUCAAGAUCAGGCGAGCAGGGGCGGGAUGAGGAGGCGGUUGGGCCCGGCGGCGCCGCACGGUCGCUGUCCUUCUCCAGGCUCUUCAACAGCUUCAGGAUGAUGGCCACCUCCACCACCUCCACCACCUUGGACAUUGACGAGCUAGCAGCCGCUGAAGACGGCUGCGCAGCUCUCAACCCUCAGCAGCAGCAGCAGUGGAAGCCGGUGUGCCGGACGCAGUCGAUGCCGAUGACGAGCAUUUCCAGGAGGCUCCCCGCUCAUGGCAGCAGGAAGCGGGUGGCGGACUCGAGCUCCCUGCGCCGGUUCCGGGUGUCGUCGCUGUCGUCGGCGGCGCCCGCGCCAUUGCCGGAAUCGUCGUCGCCGCCCUCUUCGCCAUCACCGUCGGAAGAAGAGGAGGUGGGGGAGGAGGAGGCGGUGUGCCGGAUCUGCAUGGUGGCGCUGCUGGAGGAGGAGGAGGAGGAAGGAGGGGCAGCAGGGGCCGGCGACGGCGUGCUGAAGCUGGAGUGCCGGUGCAAGGGCGAGCUGGCGCUGGCGCACCGCCGCUGCGCGCUCAAGUGGUUCGGCAUCAAGGGCAACCCCAACUGCGACGUCUGCGGCCACGACGUCCUCAACCUCCCCGUCACCCUCCGCCGCGUCGCCGCCCCUCCCCCUCCUCCUCCCGUCGCCGCCGGCGACAAUGGCACCGGCAGCCAAGAAGAAGGAGGAACAGCACGGCGAGGAUUCAACAGAGGGGUGUGGCGGCACGGCACGGUGAUCCUGGUGACGGUCAGCAUGCUGGCAUACUUCUGCUUCCUGGAGCAGCUGCUGGUGGGCGACCACGGCAACGCGGCGGCGGCGCUGGCCGUCUCCGUGCCCUUCGCCGUCGUGCUCGGCACCUUCUCCGCGCUCACCACCGCCGGGAUGGCCUCCUCCCGGUGCUACGUGUGGGCCUACUCGGCGCUGCAGUUCCUGCUCGUCGUCCUCUUCACCCACCUCUUCUACCGCUACGUCAACCUCCAGGCCGUCAUCGCCAUCAUCCUCUCCGCCUUCGCCGGCUUCGGCGUCGCCAUCUGCGCCAACGCCGUGCUGCUCCAGGCCGCCCGCUGGAGGGCCGCCCGCCGCCCCCCGUCGCCGUCGGACCUCGAUAUCCCUCAGCCAUAGACAACAUAGUACAUAUGUAACUCUGCUGCACUCUACUUUCUUACUGUACAUAUAAAAGAUUUUGUGUAUGAAUAUAUGUAGAGAGUAUGAAAUAUACGUAUGUGUAGUAAGAAAAGGGCUUCUUGCUUUUAUUUAUCGAAAUUCUAG
rnacentral:rRNA from 1 species